GUGUUCUGGCAGAGGGGAUUUGGUUCAACACAGCAGCGGCGACAGUGGAUUUUAGGGUUCUGACGACCUUCUUGGUACUCCGAAGAGAAGCUCCAGACUUGAAUGCCACUUUCCGGUUAGAACAGCUACAACCAGAGUUAGAUAGACAUCGAGUUUAGGCAACGACCAACCCUCUGACGAAGAUCCGACGAAGUUCAGCCAGCGAAAAAACUUGUGUGGAUCCUAUGAUGUGGAAGGUUAUGAACUACUACCGCUCGGAGAUGGAGACAAGUAGAAUUAUUUCAUUUAUCUUUUUUAUUGUAGUUGACACUUUGUGUUGAGUAUAUUUUUAUUAUUGUAGUUGACACAUUGUGUUGAGUAUAUUUUUAUUCAAGUUUGGACAA